UUUUAUGGAGAGUUUGAUCCUGGCUCAGGAUGAACGCUGGCGGCGUGCCUAAUACAUGCAAGUCGAGCGAACGGACGAGAAGCUUGCUUCUCUGAUGUUAGCGGCGGACGGGUGAGUAACACGUGGAUAACCUACCUAUAAGACUGGGAUAACUUCGGGAAACCGGAGCUAAUACCGGAUAAUAUUUUAAACCGCAUGGUUCAAAAGUGAAAGACGGUCUUGCUGUCACUUAUAGAUGGAUCCGCGCUGCAUUAGCUAGUUGGUAAGGUAACGGCUUACCAAGGCAACGAUGCAUAGCCGACCUGAGAGGGUGAUCGGCCACACUGGAACUGAGACACGGUCCAGACUCCUACGGGAGGCAGCAGUAGGGAAUCUUCCGCAAUGGGCGAAAGCCUGACGGAGCAACGCCGCGUGAGUGAUGAAGGUCUUCGGAUCGUAAAACUCUGUUAUUAGGGAAGAACAUAUGUGUAAGUAACUGUGCACAUCUUGACGGUACCUAAUCAGAAAGCCACGGCUAACUACGUGCCAGCAGCCGCGGUAAUACGUAGGUGGCAAGCGUUAUCCGGAAUUAUUGGGCGUAAAGCGCGCGUAGGCGGUUUUUUAAGUCUGAUGUGAAAGCCCACGGCUCAACCGUGGAGGGUCAUUGGAAACUGGAAAACU
rnacentral:rRNA from 1 species